CCAUAGGAGUUGUGCCUUUAGGAGUUUUAAGAAGUUAUUUAGGAGUUUUAAGAAGUUAUUUAAGAAGUGACCUCCAGGUCACAAAGAUAUUCUUCUAUGUUGUUUUCUAAUAACUCACAGAGAGGACAGGAGCAUGAGGCUCAGGUUCCUCCCAACAGAAGCCCCACGCUUUAGGAAUUGCAGAUGGACAUGGAGGAUAAAGAGUUUUGUUUUUUCUCCUUCAGAGGACCUCAUAAGCCAAGGGGAAGGCAACUAGGCAGAGAGGGCUUUAAUUAAAUUUUCUAUUUUUUAAUUUUUCUGAACUUCAGGGGUGCUCAUACUUCGCAUGAUGGAGGGAAUAGUUAAUGAGUGCAGGUUUCCCCCAGGAGGGCUGCCACCACAACGGCUUGAGAUGAGGCGGCCAGCAGCCCCCAUCUCUACUCCAGUCUGAUAAGCUGUGGUGUCAGGCACAGAGGCACCUGUGAAGUUGGAAGACAGUGGAAAGGAAGAAGGUGACAGCCUGUGCUGUCAUGAUAAUGUCAUGGUAUGGAGGGCCCUGGCCUCCGUCGUAGGGGGCCCAUGUGAAGGGUUGGCCUCCAUGGCCUGUGAGCAGGAGCCUGGCUCAGGGAACCUGGGGCCUCUAUUCUUGGCUGGGCUUUGCUUCCUGGGGCCAUCCCUUGAACACAUCACUCCUACAUGAUGAUGAAUUCUAGAAAAUUAAAGCAGGGCAGGGGGAGUUUGAAUGUCACCCUUUUUCUUACUGAUGAGGAAACAGACCCAGAAUGAGGAAGCAGCUUACGGAAAAUUGCAUGGUUUGUGGGCUGGAGACCCAGGGCCAGGGCUCCAGCUGCUUCACCUGGAAAAAUCCUGGACUUUGGAGACAGACAGUCCUGGGUUUGAACCUAGCUCUAAGAGCCAUUUAUUAAAUAAUUUCACAAAUAAAGGUGAUGUUUGCCACCAUGGUCAGUGCUUUAAGUGAAUCUACUCAGAGCUGUGAAAUCUUGGGGGAAUUUGACCCAGUCACAGUUGAGAGAAGGUUCUGGAAGGAUAUGGGCUAAGGUCUACAGAUGAAUAAAAGUUAAGCUGGUAGAGAGGGAAGAGCUUGUAGGAUGGACAGAGGGAUGGUUGGAUGAGUGACAUGAGCCUGAGUUUAAGAGGUUGACUAUUUCUUCACCCUGUCCUCUCUCUUAGCCUGUGAAGGCUUGCUGGUAAAUUGCUAAAUCUGGCAGAGAAUGAGGAAAGGAAGAUCUCUUUCCCUGGCUAUCAAUUGUUUGAGUGUUUCACUUAAAGUUGAGCACCUGUUCUAUUGAAGUGCCCACCUCUGUUCCUCUCCAUUUCUUUGAACCCUAUCACUGGUCCUUGGGAAGGGUAAAUGCAAAAGAAAAAAAAAGUGAAAGCAGUGUUAAUCAUGCUGAAAUGUAAUGCGCCCCUCUGAACCUUGGAAGAUGAGAAAUUAUACAUGCUGAUUUCAUCCGCUACUUAACUCAGGGGGUGACAGGCUGCAAUUGAAGAGGCUUUGGCAGGUUAAGUGCUGCAAACCCUUGCCCAGGCUCUUAAGCAUCUCUCGGAAACCUCUGAGACUCGUUGGUAAUUUGGUGGUGUCAUUUGGAGUGACUCCUGGCCCUGCCAGCUGCAGGGACAGUUCCCAGUUAAAAAAAAAAUGAUUUCAUUCUCAGCUAGGAUGUGGUCUGUUCUUUUUUUGUCUGGGGACCGGAGACUGUUAAGGGAAAAGAGAGUGGGGAGGAGAUUCUGCAAAGAAAUAAAAGCAGACAAGAAUGGGCUUGUGUACAUUGCAACCACCAAAGCCCCCUCAACAAAGCUUCAUCAUUACUGGAAUCAGGAAAGAAAAGGGAGAAAACUAACAUUUAUUUGACAUUUACUGUGUACCAAGUACCUGUCAUUCCUGAACGUAUUGACUCCACACAUCUCCGCGAGACAGCUGUUGUUAUGUGGAGAAAUUAGGCUAAUUAAUUUGCCCACUACGAUGAUGACAACAAUGAUGACGAUGGUGAUAAAAGCUUAUAUUUAUAUGGCAGAGACUAUUAUAAACUCCUUAUCUGCAUUAUUCACUCCUCACAAUAACCCUGUGGGGUAACUGCCCUGCUUUUCUUUACCCAUUGCCCCUAUUCUCACCCUCCCCCCUUCGACCUCAGCACUUCCCAGCAGACUUGUUCUAUUAAUUUUUAUGAGACUUUUAUGCUUUUGUUUUGUUUUACUUUUAUUGGAAAAUUUCAAGCUUAUGCAAAACUAGAAGUGACUGUAAUAACCUCCUCAUGUAUUCACCACCCAGCUUCAACAAUGAUCAAUAUCUGGUCAUUGGAUUAUUUUGAGUCAAAUUCCAAGACAUCCUAUUAUUUCCUCUGUAAAUACUUUAGUGUGUAUCUCAAAAAAAGAUUUCCC
rnacentral:lncRNA from 1 species